rnacentral:rRNA from 1 species
UGCAUGUCUCAGUACUUGCUAUAACAAGGCGAAACCGCGAAUGGCUCAUUAAAUCAGUUAUGGUUCACUAGAUCGUACAGUUUACACGGAUAACUGUGGUAAUUCUAGAGCUAAUACGUGCAAUCAGCUCGCUUCCUUGUGGAGUGAGCGCAGUUAUUAGAACAAGACCAAUCCGGCCUUCGGGUCGGUACAAUUGGUGACUCUGAAUAACCGAAGCGGAGCGCAUGGUCUCGUACCGGCGCCAGAUCUUUCAAGUGUCUGACUUAUCAGCUUGUUGUUAGGUUAUGUUCCUAACAAGGCUUUUACGGGUAACGGGGUAUCAGGGUCCGAUACCGGAGAGGGAGCCUGAGAAACGGCUACCACAUCUAAGGAAGGCAGCAGGCGCGCAAAUUACCCACUCCCGGCACGGGGAGGUAGUGACGAAAAAUAACGAUGCGAGAGCUAUAAAGUUUCUCGUAAUCGGAAUGGGUACACUUUAAAUCCUUUAACGAGGAUCUAUUGGAGGGCAAGUCUGGUGCCAGCAGCCGCGGUAAUUCCAGCUCCAAUAGCGUAUAUUAAAGUUGCUGCGGUUAAAAAGCUCGUAGUUGGAUCUGGGUAGCUGGACGGAUGGUAUGCUUAACUGUGUUACUAUCUGUUCGGCACCACAAGCCGGUCAUGUCUUGCAUGCUCUUCACUGGGUGUGCUUGGCGCCCGGAACGUUUACUUUGAAAAAAUUAGAGUGCUCAAAGCAGGCGUACGGCCUUGCAUAAUGGUGCAUGGAAUAAUGGAAUAGGACCUCGGUUCUAUUUUGUUGGUUUUCGGAACUCGAGGUAAUGAUUAAUAGGAACAGACGGGGGCAUUCGUAUUGCGGCGUUAGAGGUGAAAUUCUUGGAUCGUCGCA